AGUGAACGCUGGCGGUAGGCCUAACACAUGAAAGUCGAACGGCAGCACAGAGGAGCUUGCUCCUUGGGUGGCGAGUGGCGGAGGGGUGAGGAAUACAUGGGAAUCUACACUGUCGUGGGGGAGAACGUAGGGAAACUUACGCUCAUACCGCAUACGAGCUAGGGCUGCGAGCAGGUGCCUCUCGGACUGUGCGCGAUGGAAUGCGCUGAUGUGGGAUGAGCCAGUUGGCGGGGUAAAGGCCCACCAAGGCGACGAUCCGUAGCUGGUCUGAGAGGAUGAUCAGCCACACUGGAACUGAGACACGGUCCAGACUACUACGGGAGGCAGCAGUGGGGAAUAUUGGACAAUGGGCGCAAGCCUGAUCCAGCCAUACCGCGUGGGUGAAGAAGGCCUUCGGGUUGUAAAGCCCUUUUGUUGGGAAAGAAAUCCAUAUGGUUAAUACCCGGGUGGGAUGACGGUACCCAAAGAAUAAGCACCGGCUAACUUCGUGCCAGCCGCCGCAGUAA
rnacentral:rRNA from 1 species